GUGUUGUAUGAAAGGAGAGGUGCUUAGCAUUCCCCUUGACAAGGAUGGAAGAGGCCCUUGGGCCUUACAAAAUGCAUACGGUUAAGGCAUUGCCACCUACUUUGUGGCAUCUAACCAUGGUUUUAA
rnacentral:ncRNA from 1 species